CUCACAAUCAACUCUGUUUUUCCACAACUAUGUUAGUAAUUUGUUUAAUCAAAAUCAGUCACAAAGUUUCAACCUUAGAACUAGACAUUAACAUCCUAUUUUUCACAGGUGUUGAAAUUCCUCAGAGUUCAAUGGAUGUUAUGGGAAGCACAGGAAGUAGUUACAUAGCAUUUUACCGCCUCUGCAGUCAACACUGUGCCAUGGAUUCCGUUCAUGAUCAAAGAAGAUGUCCUUGAGUCUUGGGAAGACUGUUAUGAAGGACAAGGAUGAUUAUUCACAUAAUAAAAGAAAAACC
rnacentral:lncRNA from 1 species